rnacentral:rRNA from 1 species
AUUGAACGCUGGCGGCAGGCCUAACACAUGCAAGUCGAACGGUAACAGGGAUCAGCUUGCUGAUUCGCUGACGAGUGGCGGACGGGUGAGUAAUGUCUGGGAAACUGCCUGAUGGAGGGGGAUAACUACUGGAAACGGUAGCUAAUACCGCAUAACGUCGCAAGACCAAAGAGGGGGACCUUCGGGCCUCUUGCCCUCGGAUGUGCCCAGAUGGGAUUAGCUAGUAGGUGGGGUAACGGCUCACCUAGGCGACGAUCCCUAGCUGGUCUGAGAGGAUGACCAGCCACACUGGAACUGAGACACGGUCCAGACUCCUACGGGAGGCAGCAGUGGGGAAUAUUGCACAAUGGGCGCAAGCCUGAUGCAGCCAUGCCGCGUGUAUGAAGAAGGCCUUCGGGUUGUAAAGUACUUUCAGCGGGGAGGAAGGGAGUAAAGUUAAUACCUUUGCUCAUUGACGUUACCCGCAGAAGAAGCACCGGCUAACUCCGUG